rnacentral:rRNA from 1 species
CGAGUCUGAAUAGGGCGAUAGUCGCUGGGAGUAGACCCGAAACCGGGCGAUCUAGCCAUGUGCAGGAUGAAGGUUGGGUAACACCAACUGGAGGUCCGAACCGGGUAAUGUUGAAAAAUUAUCGGAUGACGUGUGGCUAGGAGUGAAAGGCUAAUCAAGCCCGGAGAUAGCUGGUUCUCCCCGAAAGCUAUUUAGGUAGCGCCUCGUGAAUGAUUACUGGGGGUAGAGCACUGUUUCGGCUAGGGGGCUGUCAUGGCUUACCAAACCGAUGCAAACUCCGAAUACCGGCUAAUUGAAUCACGGGAGACACACGGCGGGUGCUAACGUCCGUCGUGGAGAGGGAAACAACCCAGACCGCCAGCUAAGGUCCCCAAGUACUAGUUAAGUGGGAAACGAUGUGGGAAGGCAUAGACAGCCAGGAGGUUGGCUUAGAAGCAGCCACCCUUUAAAGAAAGCGUAAUAGCUCACUGGUCGAGUCGGCCUGCGCGGAAGAUGUAACGGGGCUAAAACUAGUCACCGAAGCUGCGGAUGUGCGCGAAGGCGCAC